AGUAUUACAUGUACAAUACAUUGAGGGCUAAGUGACGUUCACUUAGCCCUCAUGCAUUGUACAUGUAAUACUGAACUGAACGUCACUUAGCCCUCAAUGUAUUGUACAUGUAAUACU
rnacentral:pre_miRNA from 1 species